UUCCUGCCCGAUCCCCUGGGACUGUGAUAUGAUGGGGCAUAAAGACUCUGACAGAUGUCCCAAAAGUUUCUGAUCGAUUGACUUUAAAAUAAGGAGAUAAUCCUGGAUUAUCUGGAUGAGUCUAUUCCAAUCACAGCCCUUAAAAGCAGAACAGGAAAUCUCAGAGACUGUGCAGACUUCAAAGGCGGAAGGGCCUCCAGGAGCAGGGAGGGGUCCCAGCGUACAGCCAGCAAGGAGUCAGAGACCUCGGACCCGUGAGCACCAGGAACUGCAUUCAGCCAACAACCCAAGUGAGCCAAGUGGCUUCUUCCCAGGCUGACGGUCCAGAGCUAGUACACAGGGAGAUGAUUCAGCACGUUCGGGCUCCUGACAACUGGCUGCUUACACCUCGCUUUACCAUUUUCACAACAGCAAGUGAUGAGAGUCCCACAGAAAACGUCCACAGUGCAACACGGCGCAGGGCUGAGGUCUGACCAACAGAAGGCAUUAAAUAUGGACAUGUCCCACAAAGAGCCUGGCUGCGAAAGGAGGGAAGUUACUGAGGGACCCAGGCAUGGAGCUGGGGCCCCUCCGGCCACCCCCCAAUUCCCUCUUUCCUGGUGACAGAGACAAGGCAGCUGUGGAAUCGAGGGUGCCACACACCACGUGUCCAGAUGGCCUCUGUGGCAAAGGUUCUUUUCAUACUGCGGUGGCCCUCAGACAGCAGGGCCGGAGCACAGCACACGCCUCUGCAGAGCUUUCCGGCAAAAGGGACCCUGUGCAUCCAUAGGUGCUGCCUACCCCUACGUUUCACUCUAUCAUUAUUCCGUUAUUACUUUCCAUGUAAUACAACAGAGCUAUCACAACUUACACUGACAGAAGUUAACCUUAUAGUAAAACCAAACAAACACGUCCACUUGUGUCCCCUAAAGCGUAAACUGCCAAUGCAGUGAGAGCCCAAGAUGCCUUUCGGAUUCAAUGUGAAUUAUUUAGCCAGUUGGCUCCAGUUCCUAGAACCUCCACAUCUCCCAAGUUAAAGCAGAAACUGACACAAGAAACCACGUCCUCUUAAAGUGAUCAAAAUAUACCACCUGUUUUAUACAUGAAGAUAUUCAAUUACCCAAACUCAACGAUAUAAUCUUCACUAUAAACGUUG